AUGGAGGCACGGAUGAGGCUGAUAAUCCAGGUAGCAACACUGAUUAGUGUGAUUCAGGCAUGGGUCAUGUUCAUCCACCAGAGAGCUAUUCGUCGUGCUGGAAGACCUUUGAUUCGCUAUGGUCCCUUGUUUCCCCAGGAACAGGAGAGGAUCCAAAAUUUGAACUACAUCUACAACUACAAUGACGUCGAGGCUCUAUGGAUGCUUAGAAUGAAAAUAGCACCAUUUUCCAGGCUUGUUGAGACCUUCAGGAGCAGGGGGCUUUUACAAGAUAGCAUGAACACCAGUGUCGAAGAGCAAGUGGCCAUGUUCCUCCAUGUUGUUGGCCAUAACCAGAGGUUUAGGGUCAUUCACAACAUGUUCAGGAGAUCAAUGGAGACCAUCUCUAGGUACUUCAAGCAAGUGCUUUUUGCUAUUGGGGAGCUUAGAGGAGAGAUGAUCAGGAGACCAUCUGGUCAGACUCCACCCAAGAUUCGCGGAAGCCCAAGAUGGUAUCCAUACUUCAAGGUGAGCAUUGACAAUAUACACUUUUCAUGGCUUGAUAUGCUUGUAUUGUUCAAGUUGAGCACUAACACAGGCUUGUGA
rnacentral:rRNA from 1 species